rnacentral:rRNA from 1 species
GACGAACGCUGGCGGCGUGCUUAACACAUGCAAGUCGAACGGAAAGGCCCUGCUUUUGUGGGGUGCUCGAGUGGCGAACGGGUGAGUAACACGUGAGUAACCUGCCCUUGACUUUGGGAUAACUUCAGGAAACUGGGGCUAAUACCGGAUAGGAGCUCCUGCUGCAUGGUGGGGGUUGGAAAGUUUCGGCGGUUGGGGAUGGACUCGCGGCUUAUCAGCUUGUUGGUGGGGUAGUGGCUUACCAAGGCUUUGACGGGUAGCCGGCCUGAGAGGGUGACCGGCCACAUUGGGACUGAGAUACGGCCCAGACUCCUACGGGAGGCAGCAGUGGGGAAUAUUGCACAAUGGGCGGAAGCCUGAUGCAGCAACGCCGCGUGCGGGAUGACGGCCUUCGGGUUGUAAACCGCUUUCGCCUGUGACGAAGCGUGAGUGACGGUAAUGGGUAAAGAAGCACCGGCUAACUACGUGCCAGCAGCCGCGGUGAUACGUAGGGUGCGAGCGUUGUCCGGAUUUAUUGGGCGUAAAGGGCUCGUAGGUGGUUGAUCGCGUCGGAAGUGUAAUCUUGGGGCUUAACCCUGAGCGUGCUUUCGAUACGGGUUGACUUGAGGAAGGUAGGGGAGAAUGGAAUUCCUGGUGGAGCGGUGGAAUGCGCAGAUAUCAGGAGGAACACCAGUGGCGAAGGCGGUUCUCUGGGCCUUUCCUGACGCUGAGGAGCGAAAGCGUGGGGAGCGAACAGGCUUAGAUACCCUGGUAGUCCACGCUGUAAACGGUGGGUACUAGGUGUGGGGUCCAUUCCACGGGUUCCGUGCCGUAGCUAACGCUUUAAGUACCCCGCCUGGGGAGUACGGCCGCAAGGCUAAAACUCAAAGGAAUUGACGGGGCCCCGCACAAGCGGCGGAGCAUGCGGAUUAAUUCGAUGCAACGCGUAGAACCUUACCUGGGUUUGACAUGGAUCGGGAGUGCUCAGAGACGGGUGUGCCUCUUUUGGGGUCGGUUCACAGGUGGUGCAUGGCUGUCGUCAGCUCGUGUCGUGAGAUGUUGGGUUAAGUCCCGCAACGAGCGCAACCCUUGUUCACUGUUGCCAGCACGUUAUGGUGGGGACUCAGUGGAGACCGCCGGGGUCAACUCGGAGGAAGGUGGGGAUGACGUCAAGUCAUCAUGCCCCUUAUGUCCAGGGCUUCACGCAUGCUACAAUGGCUGGUACAGAGAGUGGCGAGCCUGUGAGGGUGAGCGAAUCUCGGAAAGCCGGUCUCAGUUCGGAUUGGGGUCUGCAACUCGACCUCAUGAAGUCGGAGUCGCUAGUAAUCGCAGAUCAGCAACGCUGCGGUGAAUACGUUCCCGGAGCU